rnacentral:lncRNA from 1 species
CUCACUGUGUCGUCAUGUGACCACAGAGAGAGAGCAAGUCUGUUCUUAUGAAGACACCAAUCCUAUCAGAUUAGGGCCCCACCCUUAUGAUCUCAGUUAACCUUAAUUACUUCUAUAAAGGCCAGGUCUCCAAAUACAGUCACACGGGGAGCUAGGGCUUCAACCUAUGGCUUUUGGGGGAUACAGUUCAGUCCAUAGCAGUGGGGAAAGGAUGUGACUCAGUCUAGAGAGACUCAAGGAGGGAAUGCUUAGAUAGGAGCAUGGAGGGCGUGCCUGGUGAAGGGAACAGUAUGGCACAGCUUCAGAGGCAAGGGUGAGCCAGCAGCAAGGGGCUGGCUAUGGCCGGUACAAAAAGCAUGUGCUCGUGGGAAAUAGGCACCAAAGAAGGCCCAGAGAGGUUUAACAACUUCCUCAGAAUCACACAGCUUCCAAAUGGUUGGGUUGGGUUUACAUUUAGGCGGUCUUGCUCCAGAGCCAGUGCUCCUAACCUUUGCAAGCCACGAACCUCAAGAAAGUGGAGAAGGAAACGCUGGGAAAUCUGGAAGUCAGACAUGAGAGCUAAUGCUGGCAGCUGUUGGGAUGUCCUCUUCCAGGAAUGGUGAUGAGUUUCCCUGGAUCCAGCCCUGGCUUGGCUGAGGUUUUUCUCACUGUAAGAAGAGGACAAUAGCCUAUGAUCUACAGUGCCCAUUCCAACUCAGAGAAUCUUUACAUCUGGAGAUCUAUAGCAGGGCUAUCCCUAGUGACAUGCGUGAAGAAGCUUGGAAAUGGUGCUGGGUAGGAGCUGAGUGUGCAGAAUGUGGAAAGGCAUUCUAAACCAAAGGAAGAACACGAGUAAAGAUGAUGAAGCAGGGAUAAGGCUAAAAUGAAAUUUGUGAUCUGAUCCACAUACAAGCACAGUGUAGUACAGCUGGAAUAUAGAGAAGAGCUUGAAGACUUAUGAGCAACUAUCCCGGUACUCUUGGAGGCUCUGCAACCACAGUUUGAGAAACUCCGCGUUCAAAGUUAAAAACUGUCACCUGAAUAGUUAAUAACAUCAAAGAUUGUGAAAGCAAGUAUAAAUAACACAGAGAUUAAAAUAAUGAGGCAGGAUCAGAAACACUGACCUGCUGUGUAAGAAGUCCAACUGCCCUGAGGCCACCAGGCUGGAGAGACCAUGUAUGGAUAGGUUCUCUGAUCAACAGUUUCUAUCAAGCCCAGCCUUCUAGCCAUCAAGCCCAGCCUUCUAGCCAUGUCCACCAAUGUGCCUGACAUGUGAGUGAAGCCAUCACAGACCCUUCAGACCAGCCCACCUGCCAGCUGAAUACUUGUGAGUAACCUUGGUUGAUACUAUGUGGAACAGAAUCUCUCAGCCAAGCCCUGCCUGAAUUCCUGACCCACACAUUCAGGAGAUACAACGGAAUGGCCAGGUUCUAAUCCACUGAGUUUUGGGGUGGUUUAUUAUGCAGCAAUAGAUAACUAGAACACUGGACAUAAAUGGAAGAAG